UCACUUUUCAGGGACCUGUUGGAAAAAAGGUAGAAAUGCACACCCAGAAAUGCUAUACUCAGAAACCUGAUUGUUAUCUAAAGCAUUGGCACAAUUUACAGGGAAUAAAGGGGGUUCAAGGAAUGCCUGGAGCGAAGGGAGCCAAGGGACGUCGAGGACCUCCAGUAAGAUGUGUACAAAAACUCCGAAAUAAAGUAAUAAUCAUGAAGCACUGACAUUUCCUUCACGGUUCCGACAGGGAAAGCCAGGUAACACUGGCCAGACACCAAGAAACCCUUCAAAUUCCUUCAACAGAAAAGGAUCACAAAAUGUUGGUAUAAAAUUUGAGGUCAACUGUAUAUAGAGGAAAAAAAUUACUUUUCAUGAUGUCAUCAGUGGAGGCAGAUGAGGACAAUUUUAGAUUAACUCAGUUAUUACAGUUUAUGAAUCAAUUUCUCUUAGACCUAUCAUGUGUCGUCCACAGCAGCUUAAGCAUCUUAAUUCCAGGACGCCUCUUGUUCUGCAACGUGACCAAGGGGACCGUGACUUGUUAAUCUGGCCCCAAGGCACGAAAGACAGCCCGGCCACCACUUGCAAAGAACUGGGGCUAAUUCACCCAAACCCGCAGGAUGGUGAGUGAGGAAAACCGGCCAGAACAACUCUCACAGUCGUUCGCUGAAUGAAAAAUCUGUUGCUGUUGCAUUGUGCAGGCUUUUUCUAUGUGGACCCCAACCAGGGGUGUCCCUUUGACGCCCUGCGUGUGUUUUGUAAUUUCACUGCGGGCGGGAUGACCUGUCUGUAUCCAGUCAAGUCGCAGGUAACAUGAUCAGCACCUCCUAUCUGGACGUGGCGCCAUCGUUCAAAAGACAUCCGUCUGAUGGUGUCACAUUCAUUACUUAGUUCUUCAACAUUUUCACAUCUACAUAAGUAAAUGUUGUUGUGCCUGUUGAAUCAACGUCUUGUACUUUUCAGAUUUCAGGAAAGUUCUUCUCAGAUAUAAAUACAUCUAAAGGUGCCAUCCAAUGGUUCAGCCAACUACACAAUGGAUUUAAAUUUAAAUAUGCAGGCCUGGAUGUGGUCCAGCUGCGGUUUCUACGGUUACACAGCAAUUUGGCUACGCAGCACGUGAAUGUAGGCUGCCACAGGGAUCACAAGGCCGCAGCCAAUCACAGCCAUUCUGGACACAGAGUUCACUUGCGCGGAGACGAUUCCUCGAUCGGCUCGACCUACACCACAAGGAGAAAACUUGGCUGUGAGGUGGAGCUGCAGUUAACCGUAAAGGGGAACAGCGAGCAGCACGUGGGCCUCCUGCCCCUCAGAGAUUUGGGACUGGAGAGCAGGGGGGAGCCCUGGGAGGGAAGUAUCCAGUCAGCCGUGGGACCUCUGUGCUUCCUGUAGCACGCAUCUCACACUGCAUCUCCUUGAAAAUGUCUCAAGCACUUAAGCUUUUCCAAUGCAUCAGGGAUGAGAAUUUCCGUAGUGGCAUCUUGAAAUGUCUCUCAUUUAAUCUUUCAUCUGGAUACAAUUUUGUUCAGUUCCUUUGCUUAUUCUUUCGUGAAAACAUGUGAAGACAUGUACCAGCUUUUAUGCCGAACACAGAGCCUCAAAAGGGAAAAACACAUUUUCAAAC
rnacentral:lncRNA from 1 species